rnacentral:rRNA from 1 species
UCCGGUUGAUCCUGCCGGACCUUACUGCUAUCGGGAUAAGACUAAGCCAUGUUAGUUGUGCGCUCUUAGGCUAUGUUAAGAGCGCGGCGUACGGCUCAGUAACACGUAGUUAACCUACCCUUGGGAUGAAAAUAACCCCGGGAAACUGGGAUUAAUUUUCAAUAGAUGAUUGUUCUUUGAAAUGUCUAUCAUUUAAAGACUCUAGAAACAUGCUUUUAGAGUUGCCCAAGGAUGGGACUGCAUCCGAUCAGGUUGUUGGUGGGGUAAAGGCCCACCAAGCCUAUAACCGGUACGGGCCCUGAGAGGGGGAGCCCGGAGAUGGAAACUGAGACAAGGUUCCAGGCCCUACGGGGUGCAUCAGGCGCGAAAUCUCGACAAUGCGCGAAAGCGUGAUCGGGUUAUCCCGAGUGCUGUUCGAUGAGGAUGGCUUUUCCUUGGUUUUAGAAGCCAGGGGAAUAAAGGGGGGGCAAGACUGGUGUCAGCCGCCGCGGUAAUACCAGCCCCCUGAGUGGUAAGGAUGAUUAUUUGGCUUAAAGCGUCCGUAGCCGGCUCAGUAAGUCUCUUGUUAAAUCCAACGAUUCAAUCGUAGGUGUGCAAGAGAUACUGCUAUGCUAGAAGACGGGAGAGGUCGACGGUAUUCCAAGGGUAGGGGUGAAAUCCUAUAAUCCUUGGAGGACCACCAGUGGCGAAGGCGGUCGACUAGAACGUGCUUGACGGUGAUGGACGAAAGCUGGGGGAGCGAACCGGAUUAGAUACCCGGGUAGUCCCAGCUGUAAACGAUGCGGGCUAGGUGUUGGAAUAGCUACGAGCUAUUUCAGUGCCGCAGAGAAAUUGUUAAGCCCGCCGCCUGGGGAGUACGGCCGCAAGGCUGAAACUUAAAGGAAUUGGCGGGGGAGCACCACAAGGGGUGAAGGCUGCGGUUUAAUUGGAGCCAACGCCGGGAAACUUACCGGGGCCGACAGCAGAGUGAAGGCCAGACUAAAGAUCUUGCUAGACAAGCUGAGCGGAGGUGCAUGGCCGUCGUCAGUUCGUGCCGUGAGGUGUCCUGUUAAGUCAGGCAACGAACGAGACCCCCACUGUUAGUUGCCAACGGAUUCCAUUGGAAUGCCGGGAACUCUAACGGGACUGCCACCGAUAAGGUGGAGGAAGGAGGGGGCAACGGCAGGUCAGUAUGCCCCAAAUGCCCCGGGCCACACGCGGCCUGCAAUGGUAGGGACAAAUGGUUUCAACCCCUAAAGGGGAAGAUAAUCCCUAAACCCUAUCUCAGUUGGGAUUGAGGGCUGAAACUCGCCCUCAUGAACAUGGAAUCCCUAGUAACCGCGUGUCAUCAUCGCGCGGUGAAUACGUCCCCGCUCCUUGCACACACCGCCCGUCGCUCCACCCAAGUUGGGUUUAGGUGAGGCGUGGUCUUUUUGGCUAUGUCGAAUCUGGGUUCAGCGAGGAGGGAGAAGUCGUAACAAGGUG